rnacentral:rRNA from 1 species
GACGAACGCUGGCGGCGUGCUUAACACAUGCCAGUCGAACGGAAAGGCCCUGCUUUUGUGGGGGGCUCGAGUGGCGAACGGGUGAGUAACACGUGAGUAACCUGCCCUUGACUUUGGGAUAACUUCAGGAAACUGGGGCUAAUACCGGAUAGGAGCUCCUGCUGCAUGGUGGGGGUUGGAAAGUUUCGGCGGUUGGGGAUGGACUCGCGGCUUAUCAGCUUGUUGGUGGGGUAGUGGCUUACCAAGGCUUUGACGGGUAGCCGGCCUGAGAGGGUGACCGGCCACAUUGGGACUGAGAUACGGCCCAGACUCCUACGGGAGGCAGCAGUGGGGAAUAUUGCACAAUGGGCGGAAGCCUGAUGCAGCAACGCCGCGUGCGGGAUGACGGCCUUCGGGUUGUAAACCGCUUUCGCCUGUGACGAAGCGUGAGUGACGGUAAUGGGUAAAGAAGCACCGGCUAACUACGUG